GAUGAAGAACGUAGCGAAAUGCGAUAAGUAAUGUGAAUUGCAGAGUUCAGUGAAUCAUCGAAUCUUUGAACGCACCUUGCGCUCCUUGGUAUUCCGAGGAGCAUGCCUGUUUGAGUGUCAUUAAAUUCUCAACCUCACCAGUUUUGUAACGAGACAGGUGAAGGCUUGGAUGUGGGGGUUUUGCAGGCUGCCUCAGUGCUGGUCUGCUCUCCUGAAAUGCAUUAGCGAGCUCAUAUUGAGCUUCCGUCUAUUGGUGUGAUAAUUAUCUACGCCGUGGAUUGGACUCAUGCUUGCUUCUAACCGUCCGCAAGGACAAUUUACUUGACCAAUUUGACCUCAAAUCAGGUAGGACUACCCGCUGAACUUAAGCAUAUCAAUAAGCGGAGGA
rnacentral:misc_RNA from 1 species